AACUUUGGACAAUGGGUGAAACCCUGAUCCAGCCAUCCCGUCGGUAUUAGGAUGGCAUUCGGGUAGAAAAGUACUUUUGGCAGAGAAGAAAAGGUAUCCCUCAAAACGGGAUACUGCUGACGGUAUCUUCAUAAUACGCACCGGCUAACUACGUGCCAGCAGCCGCGGUCAUACGUAGGGGGCAAGCGUGAAUCGGAAUUACUGUGCGUAAAGCGUAAGUAGGCGAUUGGGGAAGAAAGAUGUGAGAUCCCAGGGCUCAACCUUGGAACUGCAUUUUUAACUGCCGAGCUAGAGUAUGUCAGAGGGGGGUAGAAUUCCACGUGUAGCAGUGAAAUGCGUAGAUAUGUGGAGGAAUACCGAUGGCGAAGGCAGCCCCCUGUGAUAAUACUGACGCUCAGACACGAAAGCGUGGGGAGCAGACAGG
rnacentral:rRNA from 1 species